rnacentral:rRNA from 1 species
GACAGAGGGUGCAAACGUUGCUCGGAAUCACUGGGCGUAAAGGGCGUGUAGGCGGGAAGGAAAGUCAGAUGUGAAAUCCCCAGGCUCAACCUGGGAACUGCAUUUGAAACUCCCUUUCUUGAGUGUCGGAGAGGAAAGCGGAAUUCCUGGUGUAGAGGUGAAAUUCGUAGAUAUCAGGAGGAACACCAGCGGCGAAGGCGGCUUUCUGGACGAUAACUGACGCUGAGACGCGAAAAGCGUGGGGAGCAAACAGG